rfam:Daphnia pulex DAPPTscaffold_4373_Cont15673, whole genome shotgun sequence.
GCAGAUAUGGCAGAGUCGUUAAGGCGACUGACUCGAAAUCAGUUUCGAUAUUGUAGCUUAGGUUCGAAUUCUACUCUCUGCG